CGGCCAGACUCCUACGGGAGGCAGCAGUGGGGAAUAUUGCACAAUGGGGGAAACCCUGAUGCAGCAACGCCGCGUGAGUGAAGAAGUCAUUCGUGAUGUAAAGCUCUAUCAGCAGGGAAGAAAAUGACGGUACCUGAGUAAGAAGCCCCGGCUAACUACGUGCCAGCAGCCGCGGUAAUACGUAGGGGGCGAGCGUUAUCCGGAUUCACUGGGUGUAAAGGGAGCGUAGACGGCCAUGCAAGCCAGGGGUGAAAGCCCGGGGCCCAACCCCGGGACUGCCCUUGGAACUGCAUGGCUGGAGUGCGGGAGGGGCAGGCGGAAUUCCUGGUGUAGCGGUGAAAUGCGUAGAUAUCAGGAGGAACACCGGUGGCGAAGGCGGCCUGCUGGACUGCAACUGACGUUGAGGCCCGAAAGCGUGGGGAGCAAACAGGAUUAGAUACCCGCGUAUUG
rnacentral:rRNA from 1 species